AUUGAACGCUGGCGGCAUGCCUUACACAUGCAAGUCGAACGGCAGCACGGAGCUUGCUCUGGUGGCGAGUGGCGAACGGGUGAGUAAUAUAUCGGAACGUACCCAAGAGUGGGGGAUAACGUAGCGAAAGUUACGCUAAUACCGCACACGAUCUAAGGAUGAAAGUGGGGGCUCGCAAGACCUCAUGCUCCUGGAGCGGCCGAUAUCUGAUUAGCUAGUUGGUGAGGUAAAGGCUCACCAAGGCAUCGAUCAGUAGCUGGUCUGAGAGGACGACCAGCCACACUGGAACUGAGACACGGUCCAGACUCCUACGGGAGGCAGCAGUGGGGAAUUUUGGACAAUGGGGGCAACCCUGAUCCAGCAAUGCCGCGUGAGUGAAGAAGGCCUUCGGGUUGUAAAGCUCUCUUGUCAGGGAAGAAACGGUGAAGGCUAAUAUCCUUUGCUAAUGACGGUACCUGAAGAAUAAGCACCGGCUAACUACGUGCCAGCAGCCGCAGUAACAC
rnacentral:rRNA from 1 species